GGGCCCGCACAAGCGGUGGAGCAUGUGGUUUAAUUCGAUGCAACGCGAAGAACCUUACCGGGGUUUGACAUGGGAGCCUCGCCGCAAGGCGAGGUCAGCCCUAUGAAAGUAGGGUGUGUCCACACAGGUGCUGCAUGGCUGUCGUCAGCUCGUGUCGUGAGAUGUUGGGUUAAGUCCCGCAACGAGCGCAACCCUCGCCGAUAGUUACCAACGGGUCAUGCCGGGGACUCUAUCGGGACUGCCGGUGAUAAACCGGAGGAAGGUGGGGAUGAUGUCAAGUCAUCAUGGCCCUUACAUCCCGGGCUACACACGUGCUACAAUGGUCGGUACAGCGGGUUGCAAUACCGCGAGGUGGAGCAAAUCCUCAAAGCCGGCCUCAGUACGGAUUGGAGUCUGCAACUCGACUCCAUGAAGCCGGAAUCGCUAGUAAUCGCGGAUCAGAAUGCCGCGGUGAAUACGUUCCCGGGCCUU
rnacentral:rRNA from 1 species